GACAGGGGUCUCGAGCGUUAUUCGGAAUUACUGGGCUUAAAGGGUGCGUAGGUGGGCCAGCAAGUGCUUUGUGAAAUCCCCCGGCUCAACCGGGGAACUGCGGGGCAUACUGCUGGCCUUGAGGAAGGUAGGCGCCGAGGGAACAGUAGGUGGAGCGGUGAAAUGCGUAGAUAUCUACUGGAACGCCGAUGGUGAAGACGCUCGGCUGGGCCGUUCCUGACACUGAGGCACGAAAGCGUGGGGAGCAAACAGG
rnacentral:rRNA from 1 species